rnacentral:rRNA from 1 species
AUUGAACGCUGGCGGCAUGCCUUACACAUGCAAGUCGAACGGUAACGGGCCUUCGGGUGCCGACGAGUGGCGAACGGGUGAGUAAUACAUCGGAACGUGCCCGAUCGUGGGGGAUAACGAGGCGAAAGCUUUGCUAAUACCGCAUACGAUCUACGGAUGAAAGCAGGGGACCGCAAGGCCUUGCGCGGACGGAGCGGCCGAUGGCAGAUUAGGUAGUUGGUGGGAUAAAAGCUUACCAAGCCGACGAUCUGUAGCUGGUCUGAGAGGAUGAUCAGCCGCACUGGAACUGAGACACGGCCCAGACUCCUACGGGAGGCAGCAGUGGGGAAUUUUGGACAAUGGGCGCAAGCCUGAUCCAGCCAUGCCGCGUGCAGGAUGAAGGCCUUCGGGUUGUAAACUGCUUUUGUACGGAACGAAAAGCCUUCUUUUAAUACAGGAGGGUCAUGACGGUACCGUAAGAAUAAGCACCGGCUAACUACGUG